rnacentral:rRNA from 1 species
GACGAACGCUGGCGGCGUGCUUAACACAUGCAAGUCGAACGGAAAGGCCCUGCUUUUGUGGGGUGCUCGAGUGGCGAACGGGUGAGUAACACGUGAGUAACCUGCCCUUGACUUUGGGAUAACUUCAGGAAACUGGGGCUAAUACCGGAUAGGAGCUCCUGCUGCAUGGUGGGGGUUGGAAAGUUUCGGCGGUUGGGGAUGGACUCGCGGCUUAUCAGCUUGUUGGUGGGGUAGUGGCUUACCAAGGCUUUGACGGGUAGCCGGCCUGAGAGGGUGACCGGCCAAAUGGGGAAGGAGAGAGGGCCAGAACCCCUACGGGAGGAAGCGGGGGGGAAAUUUGACAAAGGGGCGGAAGCCGAAUGGAGAAACGCCGGGGGGGGGAGGACGGCCUUGGGGUGGGAAACCGCUUUCGCCGGGGACGAAGGGUGGGGGAGGGAAAUGGGGAAAAAAGCCCGGGAAAACUACGG